rnacentral:rRNA from 1 species
GCCCCUCGGUCGGGGACAACUCUUGGAAACGAGAGCUAAUACCCGAUACGCUGUGGAGUGAAAGAAUUUCGCCGAGGGAUGAUCUUGCGUCUGAUUAGCUAGUUGGUGUGGUAACUGCACACCAAGGCGACGAUCAGUAGCUGGUCUGAGAGGAUGGACAGCCACAUUGGAACUGAGACACGGUCCAAACUCCUACGGGAGGCAGCAGUGGGGAAUUUUCCGCAAUGGACGAAAGUCUGACGGAGCGACGCUGCGUGAAGGAUGACGGCCCGCGGGUUGUAAACUUCUUUUCUCGAAGAAGAAACAAAUGACGGUAUUCGAGGAAUAAGCAUCGGCUAACUCCGUGCCAGCAGCCGCGGUAAGACGGAGGAUGCAAGUGUUAUUCGGAAUGAUUGGGCGUAAAGAGUCUGUAGGCUGUAUAGAAAGUCUUUUGUUAAAUUCCUCGGCUCAACCGAG